CAGGACUGUCAUCAAGUUCUCUGGUUCUCUUCUUUGCUGAAGCUAGUCAUGGUCCUUUAAAGCCAGAGGAUAUGACUCCGGGACGAGGCCUACCUACCUCCACUCUGCCUUGUUGUGCAAGAAGGAGUUACACUGGUCAGAAAGUUUAGUAUCAUUUGACAUAGACUCCAGAAUUGAAAUGAUUUGCUUGAAAGAUGGCCGUUUCUGAAGAAGAGAAAAUACAUAAUCACUCGUUGGGACUUAAGAAAGUAGAUCUUUAAGAGAAAAUCCACAAGCAUAGUAAGGAAAAUCAGUCUCAGAAAAGUAUAUAUUGCCCAGCAUCACACAGGAAGCAAGUUACAGAAACAGCGGCCAUGCUCUUAAACCCUUCCUAAUGUUUUAUCAUGUGAGGGCUCAUAGGUCCAACUAAGUGAAAGCCUCAAUUUGUGGGAAGAAGAAAAGCGAGGCUGGGGACACAGCACAAACGGUGUUUACGCCACUGAAGUUCUUUUGAAAUGGAAAGGCUCUGCAUGAAGAAGCGAACAGUUAUGCCACUGCCUCGCCAAUUCCAGUGAGGAGCUCAUCUUCAAUGUAGUGUUCAACGUAGGUGGCAAAACUGUAAUUUUUCCCUUUUUUGAAACUAUUUUUUCUUCUUUUAUUUUUGAAAUUCUCAUCUAAGCGACAGUUUCUUGUACUAUAGUGACUCCUGCUGGGAGAGGUAAGUUGAAGUAGCUGAAGGUCUCUUACAGAUAUAUCAACUCCCGGCCAGUAAAAAAGAUGUCCUAAACGCAGGAGAUGGAGUUAAACUGUUCCCCUACCUUGGACGCAAUGGCUUCUUUCAUCACUAAGAACAAACCCCUAGGUUUUACAAUUGAGACUGAGAAACUAGUACAGUACUUGUACAAUUUUUGAUCUACAGCAUCACGACGUGAAGCUGCAACAAUUAGAUGUAAAGGGUCCAUUCAUGAGGAAUAACAUCACUUUGACCCUUUGUGUUAGCUCCUACUGCUAAUCUUUCCAUAAGCGUGAACUUACUUUCAAUUUGAAGAAGAUGAAAAAGUCUUUUGCAAAACCCCAAUACUGUUUUCUGAUCUAUGUACCUGAAUGGAGAAUCGUAGUCUUACCUCGUUUUUUUCCACUACAAGCCAAGCUACUUGUAAUCCUUCCAAACCUUUAAAGGGGACCUCCCUUGUUAGCAUUUCCCAGAGAACCUGGAACAAAAAGAAAAUGGAAUUUUCAUUCUUGUACUUUAUAUUUUUGGUAUAUUACUGAAACUUUAUCUAACAUUUAACUGUAUCCAAUUACCAGACACAACCAACCCCAUCUGUAGAAACUUGGACAAAAUGUUAUAUAUUCAUGAGCAGGACUUCUUCCAUAUAUAAUAUACAUUUUUUUUGUUCCUUAUAAAGAAAAAAACUGGUUUAGAAAUUAGAACGUCUAGAGCCAGACUUAAAAUUUUAUGAAACCAAUGUGCCUAAGGGAUUUAACUGUAUCUCAUAAGCUAUUAAAAUU